CCUACGGGAGGCAGCAGUGAGGAAUAUUGGACAAUGGACGAGAGUCUGAACCAGCGAAGUAGCGUGAAGGAUGACUUCCCUAUGGGUUGUAAACUUUUUUUAUAUGGGAAUAAAAUGUUCCACGUGUGUGAUUUUGUAUGUACCAUAUGAAUAAGGAACGGCUAACUACGUGCCAGCAGCCGCGGUAAUACGGAGGUUCCGAGCGUUAUCCGGAUUUAGUGGGUUUAAAGGGAGCGUAGGUGGAGUGUUAAGUCAGUUGUGAAAGUUUGCGGCUCAACCGUAAGAUUGCAGUUGAAACUGGCAGUCUUGAGUGCAGUAGAGGCGGGCGGAAUUCGUGGUGUAGCGGUGAAAUGCUUAGAUAUCACGAAGAACUCCAAUGGCGAAGGCAGCUCACUGGACUGCAACUGACACUGAGGCUCGAAAGUGUGGGUAGCAAACAGGAUUAGAUACCCGGGUAGUC
rnacentral:rRNA from 1 species